UGGGCUUGAACUGUUAAUGAUCGUGCCAGAGAUGGCAUUUUCCUUCGGGACAUUAUCAGAGGUGCUGCAUGGCUGUCGUCAGCUCGUGUCGUGAGAUGUUCGGUUAAGUCCGGCAACGAGCGCAACCCUUAUCUUUAGUUGCCAGCACGUUAUGGUGGGAACUCUAAAGAGACUGCCCGGGCUAACCGGGAGGAAGGUGGGGAUGACGUCAAGUCCUCAUGGCCCUUACGUCCAGGGCUACACACGUGCUACAAUGGUAGGUACAGCGAGAAGCGAAGCGGCGACGUGAAGCAGAUCUCAAAAAACCUAUCUCAGUUCGGAUUGCAGGCUGCAACUCGCCUGCAUGAAG
rnacentral:rRNA from 1 species